ACUAUCGUUAACUGAAUACAUAGGUUAACGAGGCGAACCGGGGGAACUGAAACAUCUAAGUACCCCGAGGAAAAGAAAUCAACCGAGAUUCCCCCAGUAGCGGCGAGCGAACGGGGAGCAGCCCAGAGUCUGAAUCAGCUUGUGUGUUAGUGGAACGGUCUGGAAAGUCCGACGGUACAGGGUGAUAGUCCCGUACACCAAAAUGCACAGGCUGUGAACUCGAAGAGUAGGGCGGGACACGUGGUAUCCUGUCUGAAUAUGGGGGGACCAUCCUCCAAGGCUAAAUACUCCUGACUGACCGAUAGUGAACCAGUACCGUGAGGGAAAGGCGAAAAGAACCCCGGCGAGGGGAGUGAAAAAGAACCUGAAACCGUGUACGUACAAGCAGUGGGAGCACCUUCGGGUGUGACUGCGUACCUUUUGUAUAAUGGGUCAGCGACUUAUAUUCUGUAGCAAGGUUAACCGUAUAGGGGAGCCGCAGGGAAACCGAGUCUUAACUGGGCGUUAAGUUGCAGGGUAUAGACCCGAAACCCGGUGAUCUAGCCAUGGGCAGGUUGAAGGUUGGGUAACACUAACUGGAGGACCGAACCGACUAAUGUUGAAAAAUUAGCGGAUGACUUGUGGCUGGGGGUGAAAGGCCAAUCAAACCGGGAGAUAGCUGGUUCUCCCCGAAAGCUAUUUAGGUAGCGCCUCGUGAACUCAUCUUCGGGGGUAGAGCACUGUUUCGGCUAGGGGGUCAUCCCGACUUACCAACCCGAUGCAAACUACGAAUACCGAAGAAUGUUAUCACGGGAGACACACGGCGGGUGCUAACGUCCGUCGUGAAGAGGGAAACAACCCAGACCGCCAGCUAAGGUCCCAAAGUCAUGGUUAAGUGGGAAACGAUGUGGGAAGGCACAGACAGCCAGGAUGUUGGCUUAGAAGCAGCCAUCAUUUAAAGAAAGCGUAAUAGCUCACUGGUCGAGUCGGCCUGCGCGGAAGAUGUAACGGGGCUAAACCAUGCACCGAAGCUGCGGCAGCGACACUAUGUGUUGUUGGGUAGGGGAGCGUUCUGUAAGCCUGCGAAGGUGUGCUGUGAGGCAUGCUGGAGGUAUCAGAAGUGCGAAUGCUGACAUAAGUAACGAUAAAGCGGGUGAAAAGCCCGCUCGCCGGAAGACCAAGGGUUCCUGUCCAACGUUAAUCGGGGCAGGGUGAGUCGACCCCUAAGGCGAGGCCGAAAGGCGUAGUCGAUGGGAAACAGGUUAAUAUUCCUGUACUUGGUGUUACUGCGAAGGGGGGACGGAGAAGGCUAUGUUAGCCGGGCGACGGUUGUCCCGGUUUAAGCAUGUAGGCUGGUUGUCCAGGCAAAUCCGGAUAAUCAAGGCUGAGGUGUGAUGACGAGGCACUACGGUGCUGAAGUAACAAAUGCCCUGCUUCCAGGAAAAGCCUCUAAGCAUCAGGUAACAUUAAAUCGUACCCCAAACCGACACAGGUGGUCAGGUAGAGAAUACCAAGGCGCUUGAGAGAACUCGGGUGAAGGAACUAGGCAAAAUGGUGCCGUAACUUCGGGAGAAGGCACGCUGGUGUGUAGGUGAAGUCCCUGCGGAUGGAGCUGAGACCAGUCGAAGAUACCAGCUGGCUGCAACUGUUUAUUAAAAACACAGCACUGUGCAAACACGAAAGUGGACGUAUACGGUGUGACGCCUGCCCGGUGCCGGAAGGUUAAUUGAUGGGGUUAUCCGUAAGGAGAAGCUCUUGAUCGAAGCCCCGGUAAACGGCGGCCGUAACUAUAACGGUCCUAAGGUAGCGAAAUUCCUUGUCGGGUAAGUUCCGACCUGCACGAAUGGCGUAAUGAUGGCCAGGCUGUCUCCACCCGAGACUCAGUGAAAUUGAACUCGCUGUGAAGAUGCAGUGUACCCGCGGCAAGACGGAAAGACCCCGUGAACCUUUACUAUAGCUUGACACUGAACAUUGAGCCUUGAUGUGUAGGAUAGGUGGGAGGCUUUGAAGCGUGGACGCCAGUCUGCGUGGAGCCAACCUUGAAAUACCACCCUUUAAUGUUUGAUGUUCUAACGUUGGCCCCUGACCGGGGUUGCGGACAGUGUCUGGUGGGUAGUUUGACUGGGGCGGUCUCCUCCCAAAGCGUAACGGAGGAGCACGAAGGUUAGCUAAUCCUGGUCGGACAUCAGGAGGUUAGUGCAAUGGCAUAAGCUAGCUUGACUGCGAGCGUGACGGCGCGAGCAGGUGCGAAAGCAGGUCAUAGUGAUCCGGUGGUUCUGAAUGGAAGGGCCAUCGCUCAACGGAUAAAAGGUACUCCGGGGAUAACAGGCUGAUACCGCCCAAGAGUUCAUAUCGACGGCGGUGUUUGGCACCUCGAUGUCGGCUCAUCACAUCCUGGGGCUGAAGUAGGUCCCAAGGGUAUGGCUGUUCGCCAUUUAAAGUGGUACGCGAGCUGGGUUUAGAACGUCGUGAGACAGUUCGGUCCCUAUCUGCCGUGGGCGCUGGAGAAUUGAGGGGGGCUGCUCCUAGUACGAGAGGACCGGAGUGGACGCAUCACUGGUGUUCGGGUUGUCAUGCCAAUGGCACUGCCCGGUAGCUAAAUGCGGAAGAGAUAAGUGCUGAAAGCAUCUAAGCACGAAACUUGCCCCGAGAUGAGUUCU
rnacentral:rRNA from 2 species